rnacentral:lncRNA from 1 species
UAACGAGGCACCAACUAUUUCUGAAUCUUUUAUUCAGUCAGAUAAACUAACAUUGCCCCCUAUUCUCCUUGCUGCUGUGGAAA